CCUUACUCUGCCAUUUUCCAGCUGUGUGGCUUUGGGCAAGUUAUUUAACCUCUCUGUGCCUCAACUUCUUCAUGUAAACUGGCAGUAAUAAUAAUACGAAUGCCACAGAGCUGUGGAUGAAAUGAGCCCAUUCCGGUCUGGCUUCUUUAACCAGGAAGAUGUGGGCUGAGAGCUGUGGAGUAGAUGUCUUCACCAGAUGAGUACACAGAGAAGUAGAGAAUGUGUAUCUGCAGAGUAGGAUGAAGCAGAGACAAGGUGGGAUGGGAGAGAGACAGGGGCUGCAGGACAACCCUACCAUCAAUACACCCAACAGUCGCCAUCCUACCCCACUUAUUUAUUCACUUAGUAACACUAAUUACUCUCUAAAAAUACUUGACUAUUUAUUUGUGUAUCUACACCCACAGGAAUGGAUGUAAGUGCUAUGAGGGCAGGAAGAUUGUUUUUCCUACCACUGAAUUCCCAGGACCUCAAUCAAUGCUUGGUAUAUAGUGGGCACUCCAUAAACAUUGGCCGAAUAAAUGAAUUCUAUUUACUUGUUCACAAUUGUAGGGGAGGAAAAAAUUAUGUUCCUUCUAUCCAUCUUAAAUUCAUUGGCUGAGGCCCCAGUAAAUUAGACUGAAUAAAGAUAGACUAAUAAAAGUAUGCAAAUUGAUUUAAUACAAAAUUUACAUGUUGUGGGAGCCUUCAUAAGGAAAUGGAGACCCAAAUAAAUGGUGAAACUCGAGCUCGAUGAAGAGUGGAAAAUCGUGGGUAAAUGUGAUAGGACAAAAAGGGGUAUGAGCUAAGAGUGGUAAACUGGGGCAAGGCACAUUCAUUCGGGUUCCUCUCAGCAGUCUUCCGUCUUUGGAGAUAAGGAUGCUCCUUUUCUGCAGAUAUAGGGAGGACACCUCUCACAUGAGGGUCUUGUAAGCUGUUUCAAAGGAAGCUCAGAGAGUCCUUCCAGCACCUGCCAUUUAUCAAAUCCCUCAGCUUAAAAUAUUCAGUAUGCCAGUGUGCCAUAUUUUGGGGUAAUAUAUUCUGAACCCUCCAUAAUCAAAUUAAAAUUUUGAGAGCUUCUGUCCUAUUGUUUCAAAGAUCUUGUUACCUGCUUUGAGUUAUUGAGAAUUUAACAGAAUUGGGGAUAUGAAGUCUGAGACUUUAAAAAUGAUGAGACUUUACUACAUGGAAUGAGUUUUAGUGGAGCAACCCUUCAAGACAGCCAAUAAUGUGUGAAACCUCACCAACCAUCAUGCAGAAUGAUCUAGGAUGAUUUCUCCCAACCACUCCCAUGGAUUAUAAUGAGGAGCCCUCAACAAAAGGAGAGGGGGCUGUCAUGGUUUGUUCCUGUCUUUGUUAUGAAAUCCAAAGGCACAUGAUUGCUUGGUUUUAUGUGUGACUUUUAUGGAACAUUAUUUAUCCAGAAGAAGUUCCCUUCAAAUUGCCUUUACCUUCCAAAAUAGUCAAAGGAAUGCCCUUUAUAAGCAGGCAAUUAACAUGGGCAUUUUGUGCAAUUUAUAGUAAUAGACUAAAAUGUUUCUCAUAUUAUCCACCAAGUUCCUGUUCUUGAUAAAUCUGUUUUGAUCACAAUAAAUAUUUUUUCUUUUUCUUUUUUUUUUUUUUUUGUUGUUGUUUUGGAAAUGGAGUUUCACUCUUGUUGCCCAGGUUGGAGUGCAAUGGCACGAUCUCAGUUCACCGCAACCUCUACCUCCCAGGUUCAAACGAUUCUCCUGCCUCAGCCUCCCGAGUAGCUGGGAUUACAGGCAUGCGCCACCAUGCCCAGCUAGUUUUGUAGAGACGGGGUUUCUCCAUGUUGGCCAGGCUGGUCUUGAACCCUUGACCUCAGGUGAUCCGCCCGCCUCGGCCUCCCAAAGUGCUGGGAUUAUAGGCCUGAGCCACCAUGCCCAGCCAAAUAUUUUUUUCUAGUUAGGUAUUUAAUCUUUGUUAAUAUGGAGAUAAGCAAUUUCCCAUCUUAAUUAAGGAGUAAUGUGGAUCUGUAUGGCUCAUUUUUGUUUGCUCUCCUCUAAAUGAGAAAUUUUUCUAUGGGCUAAAAUACCAUUUAGUGAAUUUAAGCACUCAUCAAAAUUUUAAAAUAAAUGUAUUUAUUGUGCCCAUUUGUUUCCAGAGUUUCCUUGUUUUUGAGUUCUUUUUUCCCAUGCGUGUGUGCAUGUGUGUUAAAGAUACAAAUAAACCAUUUGUGAAGAUACCAUUGUUUUUAAAGAACUCAUUUUCAAAUGAUGCAGCAGUAUCUUCAACAAUGUUUUAUAAGCCCUUCCGAUCUAUAUUUAGCUUUGUAGAAAAUGUGUUCAUAAUGAGGAAGGCUCAAGGUGCAGAAUAUGGGGGGGGGGCAGUGGUAGCUGGGUCCUGUCUUCACUACAAAACCAAGGAUCCUUGGUUUAAGUGUUCCACUGUAUUUACAUUUAUUUGGGCAGAUAAAUAUUUGCCAUGGCCAGGCAUGGUGGCUCACACCUGUAAUCCAAACAUUUCAGGAGGCCG
rnacentral:lncRNA from 1 species